CAUUUGGCAGGUUUAGAAUGUCUGUGGGUGUCUGUUCAACUAAUUAAGGAAGUGGACCAGUGGUGGGAGGUUCUGCCAGCCCGUGGUUCUGCAGGAACUGACAAAGAUCUCCGUGGUCCAGAUACUCCAUGAUGACACACAGAGGCUCUUCUUGUGAGCACAGACCCAGGACACGAGCCAAGUUAUGAUCUUCUAGAGCUGACAGGAUACGCACAUCUCGCUGGAAGUCCAAUCUGUAAAUAACAAAAAUCAUUGAGUAAAUGAAAACCAACUGUUAAGUUUC